UGGGGGAUAUUGCACAAUGGGGGAAACCCUGAUGCAGCGACGCCGCGUGAGUGAAGAAGUAAUUCGUUACGUAAAGCUCUAUCAGCAGGGAAGAAAAUGACGGUACCUGACUAAGAAGCCCCGGCUAACUACGUGCCAGCAGCCGCGGUAAUACGUAGGGGGCAAGCGUUAUCCGGAAUUACUGGGUGUAAAGGGAGCGCAGACGGCAGUGCAAGUCUGGAGUGAAAGCCCGUGGCUUAACCACGGGACUGCUCUGGAAACUGUGCAGCUAGAGUGCAGGAGAGGCGGGCGGAAUUCCUAGUGUAGCGGUGAAAUGCGUAGAUAUUAGGAGGAACACCAGUGGCGAAGGCGGCUUACUGGACCGUAACUGACGUUGAGGCUCGAAAGCGUGGGGAGCAAACAGG
rnacentral:rRNA from 1 species